rnacentral:rRNA from 1 species
AGUCGAGGGGUAACAGUUCCGAGCAAUCGGAAGCUGACGACCGGCGCACGGGUGCGUAACGCGUAUGCAACCUACCCUUUACUGGGGGAUAGCCCGGAGAAAUCCGGAUUAAUACCCCAUGGUACUAUUAAAGGGCAUCCUUUUUAGAUUAAAGUUUUAACGGAUAAGGAUGAGCAUGCGGAACAUUAGUUAGUUGGUGAGGUAAUGGCUCACCAAGACCACGAUGUUUAGGGGUUCUGAGAGGAUUGUCCCCCACACUGGUACUGAGACACGGACCAGACUCCUACGGGAGGCAGCAGUAGGGAAUAUUGGUCAAUGGACGAAAGUCUGAACCAGCCAUGCCGCGUGCAGGAUGAAGGCCCUACGGGUCGUAAACUGCUUUUAUAUGGGAAGAAACCCCCGGACGUGUCCGGGGCUGACGGUACCAUAAGAAUAAGGAUCGGCUAACUCCGUGCCAGCAGCCGCGGUAAUACGGAGGAUCCAAGCGUUGUCCGGAUUUAUUGGGUUUAAAGGGUGCGUAGGCGGGCUAUUAAGUCAGUGGUGAAAGUUUGCAGCUUAACUGUAAAAGUGCCAUUGAAACUGAUAGUCUUGAGUACGGUUGAGGUGGAUGGAAUGUAUCAUGUAGCGGUGAAAUGCUUAGAUAUGAUACAGAACACCGAUUGCGAAGGCAGUUCACUAAGCUAAUAUUACGCUAAGGCACGAAAGCGUGGGGAGCGAACAGGAUUAGAUACCCUGGUAGUCCACGCUGUAAACGAUGAUAACUCGCUGUUGGCGAUAUACAGUCAGCGGCCAAGCGAAAGCGUUAAGUUAUCCACCUGGGGAGUACGAUCGCAAGGUUGAAACUCAAAGGAAUUGACGGGGGCGCGCACAAGCGGUGGAGCAUGUGGUUUAAUUCGAUGAUACGCGAGGAACCUUACCUGGGCUUAAAUGUUUAAUGACCGUCCCCGAAAGGGGAUUUUCCUUCGGGACAUUUUACAAGGUGCUGCAUGGUUGUCGUCAGCUCGUGCCGUGAGGUGUCGGGUUAAGUCCCAUAACGAGCGCAACCCCUAUUCUUAGUUGCCAUCAGGUAAUGCUGGGGACUCUAAGGAAACUGCCUACGCAAGUAGUGAGGAAGGUGGGGAUGACGUCAAAUCAGCACGGCCCUUAUGUCCAGGGCUACACACGUGCUACAAUGGCCAGUACAGAGGGUCGCUACCUGGUGACAGGAUGCUAAUCUCGAAAGCUGGUCUCAGUUCGGAUUGGAGUCUGCAACUCGACUCCAUGAAGCUGGAAUCGCUAGUAAUCGCACAUCAGCCAUGGCGCGGUGAAUACGUUCCCGGGCCUUGUACACACCGCCCGUCAAGCCAUGGAAGCUGGGGGUGCCUGAAGUCAGU